rnacentral:rRNA from 1 species
UACGUAGGGUGCGAGCGUUGUCCGGAAUUAUUGGGCGUAAAGAGCGUGUAGGCGGCUCGAUAAGUCUGCUGUGAAAGUCCAGGGCUCAACCCUGGAAGGCCGGUGGAAACUGUCGGGCUAGAGUCCGGAAGAGGCGAGUGGAAUUCCCGGUGUAGCGGUGAAAUGCGCAGAUAUCGGGAGGAACACCAAUGGCGAAGGCAGCUCGCUGGGACGGUACUGACGCUGAGACGCGAAAGCGUGGGGGAGCAAACAGG